UAUAACCGAUUUUCGAUAACUAUGUUUGUACAUUUUGCAUUGUUUUUCUUUGCAGUUUGCAGUCUUCCAACGUCGUUGCCUUCAAGGCCCGCACCGUCUCCAAGAAUCAUCGGUGGCCAUGAUGCCCCUCCAUUUUCGAUCCCUUACCAGGCUAUAGUUUUCUCCAGAUACGACGAAAUUAACCAAUGGGGUGGAGGAGUGCUGAUUUCCCCAAGUUACGUUAUAACGUCCGCUUUUAUUAUUUUAGAUACAUAAGGAGAAACUACUCGAGAAGUCGAUGUCUUUCUCGGCGUGAAGAACUUUAGCUCGGAACUACCGGAACCGAGUCGCCAACUAAUCAAAGCAGAUCAGUGGUACAUUCAUGACGAUGACGUGUCCCUUAGCCACACUCUCGCUUUGGUAAAGUUGUCAACCCCUGCCGUUCUGAACGAGUACGUCGGCCUUCCGAAGUUACCAACGAAUACAUUUAAAAAUUCAGAUUUGGUCGGAUCUUCCGCUAUCAUAUCUGGAUUUGGUUAUACUCGUUCCAAUGAACUGCCGGGAGUGAUUCAGGUCGCCGAAUUGCCCAUUGUAGCGAUAAAGAAGUGCGAAGAAUACUUUGGAGUAAAUAAACUAGAUAACGACUUGUUCAUCUGCGGUUAUGAAGCAACCGCCAACAAAGGAGCCAAUACCGGGGAUCAAGGGGGUCCGCUAACCAUCGAUGGCGUUCUCUACGGCAUCGCCUAUGAAAUGGCGGGCUUCGAGAUGGAAUACGAUUACCAAUCACUGUUUUUAAACAUCUGGUACUUUAAGGAUUGGAUUGAGCAAACUUCCGAGGGCGCCGUUGUUUUUGCUUAGACUGCUUGGAUUCAAGCUGUGUUCAUCAAUAAAGUUAA